rnacentral:rRNA from 1 species
GACGAACGCUGGCGGCGUGCCUAAUACAUGCAAGUAGAACGCUGAAGAGAGGAGCUUGCUCUUCUUGGAUGAGUUGCGAACGGGUGAGUAACGCGUAGGUAACCUGCCUGGUAGCGGGGGAUAACUAUUGGAAACGAUAGCUAAUACCGCAUAAAAUUGAUUAUUGCAUGAUAAUUAAUUGAAAGAUGCAAUUGCAUCACUACCAGAUGGACCUGCGUUGUAUUAGCUAGUUGGUGAGGUAACGGCUCACCAAGGCGACGAUACAUAGCCGACCUGAGAGGGUGAUCGGCCACACUGGGACUGAGACACGGCCCAGACUCCUACGGGAGGCAGCAGUAGGGAAUCUUCGGCAAUGGGGGGAACCCUGGCCGAGCAACGCCGCGUGAGUGAAGAAGGUUUUCGGAUCGUAAAGCUCUGUUGUAAGAGAAGAACGGGUGUGAGAGUGGAAAGUUCACACUGUGACGGUAUCUUACCAGAAAGGGACGGCUAACUACGUGCCAGCAGCCGCGGUAAUACGUAGGUCCCGAGCGUUGUC